rnacentral:rRNA from 1 species
UACGUAGGUGGCAAGCGUUGUCCGGAUUUACUGGGUGUAAAGGGCGUGUAGGCGGAGCUGCAAGUCAGAUGUGAAAUCCCGGGGCUCAACCCCGGAACUGCAUUUGAAACUGUAGCCCUUGAGUAUCGGAGAGGCAGGCGGAAUUCCUAGUGUAGCGGUGAAAUGCGUAGAUAUUAGGAGGAACACCAGUGGCGAAGGCGGCCUGCUGGGCGACAACUGACGCUGAGGCGCGAAAGCGUGGGGAGCAAACAGG